GAAUGAAGAACGUAGCGAAAUGCGAUAAGUAAUGUGAAUUGCAGAAUUCAGUGAAUCAUCGAAUCUUUGAACGCACAUUGCGCCCCUUGGUAUUCCGAGGGGCAUGCCUGUUCGAGCGUCAUUACACCACUCAAGCUAUGCUUGGUAUUGGGCGUCGUCCUUAGUUGGGCGCGCCUUAAAGACCUCGGCGAGGCCACUCCGGCUUUAGGCGUAGUAGAAUUUAUUCGAACGUCUGUCAAAGGAGAGGAACUCUGCCGACUGAAACCUUUAUUUUUCUAGGUUGACCUCGGAUCAGGUAGGGAUACCCGCUGAACUUAAGCAUAUCAAUAAGCGGAGGA
rnacentral:misc_RNA from 1 species